UUAGUCUUCCUGGUCCGUCCUUGGUUGCAGCCAUGAAUUUCAUUUUUCAUAGUCUGUUGCUAUCGUUUUCUUUUCUAAUUCAGAUUACUGGUGAUUAAGAUUCAUAGUUGCAGCCAUGAAUUUCAUUUUUCAUUUUAUGCCACUGAAAUUUUAAGUCGAUUCAAAUCCUAAAAUCGAAACCCUGUGAAAGAAUUCUAAAACCAAAUCACCACAGGGAAAACUAGACAAAAAGCUUGAAAACCCUAAUUUUUUCUCUGUUAAGUCCACAAAGACAAAGGUGGUUCUACGUCUCAGAAACCCUAUAAAGGCCAAAAGAAAAGUCGAGAAGAAGAAAAUUGGGGAAUCAUCAACCGUACCAGUUAUACUGCUUAUAAUUCUCUUCAGGCUUUACAUAUUGGUUGGCGUUGAUUAAGGCAGGCAUUCCUAAAAUUCAGUAUUUCACUUCGACACUUUCUCGUAUUAUUGGUACUAUGGACCUGUUUUCAGAGUCAUUCUCCAGGUUAAUUUGUGAAAUUUUCCAUAGAUUAUAAGGCGACGUCUUGGUGAAAAGUUGUACCUGAUUCAGUCAAGGUUGUCAAGACUAUUAAAUAUCAAGCAGGUGUGUUCUUGAAAUGCUCCCUGGGCAAGAUCCUGUUGUGGUGGAUGCUUUCAUACAUCGAUGUAAUCUUAACCCAGAGACGUUAAUAACGGUUCAGGCGAUAAAUAGUGAGACUGGAGCUCUUGAUUUUGCCAGAAAUCUAAAAGUGGUCCUGCGAAACUGAAAACCUUUGUUGAACUGAUAAUGGAUAACAUUCGGAUAUGCAGAUCAGCACUUAUUAAUACAUGCUAUAUUUACUUUAUUCUAUUCUGUAAUUCAAACUUCCUCUUUGCUUCGUGUCUUUUACUUCUCACCUUCCUGGUGAGAUUCUGUAGUUCAGCCUUAUCAUAGACUGGAUGGACGAAGCAUCUGCAUGUUGUCCAUAGUUGUUUUCUCCUUUCACAAUAUUAUUAUUUACCUCUUAAAAAACUGCAGGUCAUGAGUUUUUUUUUUGCAACUGCUGAACAUGAGAAGGGAAGGCUUCAGUAUUUCUCUUCAACUGAACGAAGAGAUGAUCUAUACCGGUACAACCAGAAAGAGCGAAGAACGGUUUUUGAGGUUCCAGAUGAUUUUCCCUCUGUGCAAAUUCCAUUUGAAUGGCUUGUUCAAUUAGUCCCACCACUAAAACCAAAGAGUUGAAUCAAAUCACAUUUAGCGAGAUUUUUUUUUUCCUUUCAUUCAAUCAGGAGGUGGACCCGUUGCUGAAUGAUGGAAGUAAGCACAUAAAUGUCGUGGGAUGGAGGAAAAACACUUAUCUACCUCAAAGAGUUGAAACUAGUUGAAGGAGAAGCCGCUGAUGUUUACUAAUGAGUUUGGCACUAUCUAAAACACCAAUUCAACAGGUUUGUGGACAGCUCAAUAGUUACUCAUUUCUUCAUUUCAGUUAGUCAUGUUUUGUGAUUUUCAGUUUUUAUCAACUCACUGAUAAACUUUACUUGGAUUCAGAGCGAGAUACAUGAGUUGUUGGCAUUAGUUUACUAUGAUGUUAUUCAAAAUGUUGUACCAAUUAUGAUCAACGAUCCGUUCUACCCACCAAGGAUGAAUGGAUAACAUUCUGCAGAACUAGCAUAACCCCUAUGAAUUUAAUUGUGUACAGGAUUCAUUAUAUAAUUUAAUGCUAGUAUUCUCAUUGAA